rnacentral:rRNA from 1 species
UACGUAGGGUGCGACCCUUAUCCGGAAUCCCUGGGUUUAAAGGGUGCGUAGGCGGCUUGAUAAGUCAGGGGUGAAAGCCAGCAGCUUAACUGCGGAACUGCCUUUGAUACUGUCGAGCUUGAAAGAGGUUGAGGUCAGCGGAACGUGACAUGUAGCGGUGAAAUGCAUAGAUAUGUCACAGAACACCGAUUGCGUAGGCGGCUGGCUGGACCUACUUUGACGCUGAGGCAAGAAAGCGUGGGGAGCGAACAGG